rnacentral:rRNA from 1 species
CCCUUAGACGCUCUAGGCGGCACGCGCGCUACAAUGGGUGGUAGAACGUGUUACUGCUUCCGAAAGGAAGGGUGAACCACAAAUACCAACCCGUGAAUGGGAUAGUUUGUUGCAAUUUUCGGACUUGAACUAGGAAUCCCUUGUAAGAAUGCUCAAGAAUAGCGUGCUGAAUACGUCCCUGCCGUUUGUACACACCGCCCGUCGUUUCUUCCGACUGAUACUCAUUGUGAGUUGCAAAGAUUCUACCUGAAAAAUUGCUGCGAAUGCUUUGUAUUGGAGGAAGAAAAAGUCGUAACA